rnacentral:rRNA from 1 species
UACGUAGGGUGCGAGCGUUGCCCGGAUUUAUUGGGCGUAAAGCGCACGUAGGCGGCUUGGCAAGUCGGAUGUGAAAUCCCUCGGCUCAACCAAGGAAGUGCAUCCGAAACUGCCGAGCUUGAGUACUUAAGAGGAUCGCGGAAUUCCCGGUGUAGAGGUGAAAUUCGUAGAUAUCGGGAGGAACACCAGUGGCGAAGGCGGCGAUCUGGGAAGAUACUGACGCUGAGGUGCGAAAGCGUGGGGAGCAAACAGG